rnacentral:rRNA from 1 species
UUGACAUCCAGAGAACUUUCCAGAGAUGGAUUGGUGCCUUCGGGAACUCUGAGACAGGUGCUGCAUGGCUGUCGUCAGCUCGUGCUGUGAAAUGUUGGGUUAAGUCCGCAACGAGCGCAACCCCUAUCCUUUGUUGCCAGCGAUUCGGUCGGGAACUCAAAGGAGACUGCCGGUGAUAAACCGGAGGAAGGUGGGGAUGACGUCAAGUCAUCAUGGCCCUUACGAGUAGGGCUACACACGUGCUACAAUGGCGUAUACAAAGAGAAGCGACCUCGCGAGAGCAAGCGGACCUCAUAAAGUACGUCGUAGUCCGGAUUGGAGUCUGCAACUCGACUCCAUGAAGUCGGAAUCGCUAGUAAUCGUAGAUCAGAAUGCUACGGUGAAUACGUUCCCGGGCCUUGUACACACCGCCCGUCACACCAUGGGAGUGGGUUGCAAAAGAAGUAGAUAGCUUAACCUUCGGGAGGGCGUUUACCACUUUGUGAUUCAUGACUGGGGUGAAGUCGUAACAAGGUAAGCGUAGCGAG